rnacentral:rRNA from 1 species
AACGAACGCUGGCGGCAUGCCUAACACAUGCAAGUCGAACGAGACCUUCGGGUCUAGUGGCGCACGGGUGCGUAACGCGUGGGAACCUGCCCUUAGGUUCGGAAUAACUCCCCGAAAGGGGUGCUAAUACCGGAUAAUGUCUUCGGACCAAAGAUUUAUCGCCUUUGGAUGGGCCCGCGUUGGAUUAGCUAGUUGGUAGGGUAAAAGCCUACCAAGGCGACGAUCCAUAGCUGGUCUGAGAGGAUGAUCAGCCACACUGGGACUGAGACACGGCCCAGACUCCUACGGGAGGCAGCAGUGGGGAAUAUUGGACAAUGGGCGAAAGCCUGAUCCAUCAAUGCCGCGUGAGUGAUGAAGGCCUUAGGGUUGUAAAGCUCUUUUACCCGGGAUGAUAAUGACAGAACCGGGAGAAUAAGCUCCGGCUAACUCCGUG